rnacentral:rRNA from 1 species
UACCUGGUUGAUUCUGCCAGUAGUCGUAUGCUUGUCUCAAAGAUUAAGCCAUGCAUGUCUAAGUAUAAGCAAUUAUACCGUGAAACUGCGAAUGGCUCAUUAAAUCAGUUAUCGUUUAUUUGAUAAUACCUUACUACUUGGAUAACCGUGGUAAUUCUAGAGCUAAUACAUGCUGAAAAUCCCGACUUCGGAAGGGAUGUGUUUAUUAGAUAAAAAACCAAUGCCCUUCGGGGCUUUUUGGUGAUUCAUGAUAACUUUACGGAUCGCAUAGCCUUGCGCUGGCGACGGUUCAUUCAAAUUUCUGCCCUAUCAACUUUCGAUGGUAAGGUAUUGGCUUACCAUGGUUUCAACGGGUAACGGGGAAUUAGGGUUCGAUUCCGGAGAGGGAGCCUGAGAAACGGCUACCACAUCCAAGGAAGGCAGCAGGCGCGCAAAUUACCCAAUCCCGACACGGGGAGGUAGUGACAAUAAAUACUGAUACAGGGCUCUUUUGGGUCUUGUAAUUGGAAUGAGUACAAUUUAAACCUCUUAACGAGGAACAAUUGGAGGGCAAGUCUGGUGCCAGCAGCCGCGGUAAUUCCAGCUCCAAUAGCGUAUAUUAAAGUUGUUGCAGUUAAAAAGCUCGUAGUUGAAACUUGGGUCUGGCUGGCGGGUCCGCCUCACCGCGUGCACUCGUCCGGCCGGGCCUUCCUUCUGAAGAACCUCAUGCCCUUCACUGGGCGUGUUGGGGAAUCAGGACUUUUACUUUGAAAAAAUUAGAGUGUUCAAAGCAGGCCUUUGCUCGAAUACGUUAGCAUGGAAUAAUAAAAUAGGGCGUGCGUUUCUAUUUUGUUGGUUUCUAGAGACGCCGCAUGAUUAACAGGAACAGUCGGGGGCAUCAGUAUUCAGUUGUCAGAGGUGAAAUUCUUGG